rnacentral:SRP_RNA from 1 species
GCUGGGCAUGGUGGCGCGUGCCUGUAAUCCCAGCUACUCGGGAGGCUGAGGCAGGAGAAUCACUUGAACCUGGGAGGUGGAGGUUGUGGUGAGCCAAGAUUGUGCCACUGCAUUCUAGCCUGGGUGACAGAGCGAGACUCCGUCUCAA